rnacentral:rRNA from 1 species
AUAAUGGGUCAGCGACUUAUAUUCUGUAGCAAGGUUAACCGAAUAGGGGAGCCGAAGGGAAACCGAGUCUUAACUGGGCGUUAAGUUGCAGGGUAUAGACCCGAAACCCGGUGAUCUAGCCAUGGGCAGGUUGAAGGUUGGGUAACACUAACUGGAGGACCGAACCGACUAAUGUUGAAAAAUUAGCGGAUGACUUGUGGCUGGGGGUGAAAGGCCAAUCAAACCGGGAGAUAGCUGGUUCUCCCCGAAAGCUAUUUAGGUAGCGCCUCGUGAAUUCAUCUCCGGGGGUAGAGCACUGUUUCGGCAAGGGGGUCAUCCCGACUUACCAACCCGAUGCAAACUGCGAAUACCGGAGAAUGUUAUCACGGGAGACACACGGCGGGUGCUAACGUCCGUCGUGAAGAGGGAAACAACCCAGACCGCCAGCUAAGGUCCCAAAGUCAUGGUUAAGUGGGAAACGAUGUGGGAAGGCCCAGACAGCCAGGAUGUUGGCUUAGAAGCAGCCAUCAUUUAAAGAAAGCGUAAUAGCUCACUGGUCGAGUCGGCCUGCGCGGAAGAUGUAACGGGGCUAAACCAUGCACCGAAGCUGCGGCAGCGACGCUGAUGCGUUGUUGGGUAGGGGAGCGUUCUGUAAGCCUGUGAAGGUGUGCUGUGAGGCAUGCUGGAGGUAUCAGAAGUGCGAAUGCUGACAUAAGUAACGAUAAAGCGGGUGAAAAGCCCGCUCGCCGGAAGACCAAGGGUUCCUGUCCAACGUUAAUCGGGGCAGGGUGAGUCGACCCCUAAGGCGAGGCCGAAAGGCGUAGUCGAUGGGAAACAGGUUAAUAUUCCUGUACUUGGUGUUACUGCGAAGGGGGGACGGAGAAGGCUAUGUUGGCCGGGCGACGGUUGUCCCGGUUUAAGCGUGUAGGCUGGUUUUCCAGGCAAAUCCGGAAAAUCAAGGCUGAGGCGUGAUGACGAGGCACUACGGUGCUGAAGCAACAAAUGCCCUGCUUCCAGGAAAAGCCUCUAAGCAUCAGGUAACAUCAAAUCGUACCCCAAACCGACACAGGUGGUCAGGUAGAGAAUACCAAGGCGCUUGAGAGAACUCGGGUGAAGGAACUAGGCAAAAUGGUGCCGUAACUUCGGGAGAAGGCACGCUGAUAUGUAGGUGAAGUCCCUCGCGGAUGGAGCUGAAAUCAGUCGAAGAUACCAGCUGGCUGCAACUGUUUAUUAAAAACACAGCACUGUGCAAACACGAAAGUGGACGUAUACGGUGUGACGCCUGCCCGGUGCCGGAAGGUUAAUUGAUGGGGUCAGCGCAAGCGAAGCUCUUGAUCGAAGCCCCGGUAAACGGCGGCCGUAACUAUAACGGUCCUAAGGUAGCGAAAUUCCUUGUCGGGUAAGUUCCGACCUGCACGAAUGGCGUAAUGAUGGCCAGGCUGUCUCCACCCGAGACUCAGUGAAAUUGAACUCGCUGUGAAGAUGCAGUGUACCCGCGGCAAGACGGAAAGACCCCGUGAACCUUUACUAUAGCUUGACACUGAACAUUGAGCCUUGAUGUGUAGGAUAGGUGGGAGGCUUUGAAGUGUGGACGCCAGUCUGCAUGGAGCCGGCCUUGAAAUACCACCCUUUAAUGUUUGAUGUUCUAACGUUGACCCGUUAUCCGGGUUGCGGACAGUGUCUGGUGGGUAGUUUGACUGGGGCGGUCUCCUCCUAAAGAGUAACGGAGGAGCACGAAGGUUGGCUAAUCCUGGUCGGACAUCAGGAGGUUAGUGCAAUGGCAUAAGCCAGCUUGACUGCGAGCGUGACGGCGCGAGCAGGUGCGAAAGCAGGUCAUAGUGAUCCGGUGGUUCUGAAUGGAAGGGCCAUCGCUCAACGGAUAAAAGGUACUCCGGGGAUAACAGGCUGAUACCGCCCAAGAGUUCAUAUCGACGGCGGUGUUUGGCACCUCGAUGUCGGCUCAUCACAUCCUGGGGCUGAAGUAGGUCCCAAGGGUAUGGCUGUUCGCCAUUUAAAGUGGUACGCGAGCUGGGUUUAGAACGUCGUGAGACAGUUCGGUCCCUAUCUGCCGUGGGCGCUGGAGAACUGA